rnacentral:rRNA from 1 species
UACGUAGGGUGCAGGCGUUAAUCGGAAUUACUGGGCGUAAAGCGUGCGCAGGCGGCUCUUUAAGUCAGAUGUGAAAGCCCCGGGCUUAACCUGGGAAUUGCGUUUGAAAACUGGAGAGCUGGAGUGUGGAAGAGGGGGGGUGGAAUUCCAGGUGUAGCAGUGAAAUGCGUAGAGAUCUGGAGGAACACCGAUGGCGAAGGCAGAUCUCUGGGCCAUUACUGACGCUGAGGAGCGAAAGCGUGGGGAGCGAACAGG